UGUCGUCAGCUCGUGUUGUGAAAUGUUGGGUUAAGUCCCGCAACGAGCGCAACCCUUAUCCUUUGUUGCCAGCGGUCCGGCCGGGAACUCAAAGGAGACUGCCAGUGAUAAACUGGAGGAAGGUGGGGAUGACGUCAAGUCAUCAUGGCCCUUACGACCAGGGCUACACACGUGCUACAAUGGCGCAUACAAAGAGAAGCGACCUCGCGAGAGCAAGCGGACCUCAUAAAGUGCGUCGUAGUCCGGAUUGGAGUCUGCAACUCGACUCCAUGAAGUCGGAAUCGCUAGUAAUCGUGGAU
rnacentral:rRNA from 1 species